rnacentral:rRNA from 1 species
GACGAACGCUGGCGGCGUGCCUAAUACAUGCAAGUCGAGCGAAGUUUUUCUGGUGCUUGCACUAGAAAAACUUAGCGGCGAACGGGUGAGUAACACGUAAAGAACCUGCCUCAUAGACUGGGACAACUAUUAGAAACGAUAGCUAAUACCGGAUAACAGCAUUAACUGCAUGGUUGAUGUUUAAAAGUUGGUUUUGCUAACACUAUGAGAUGGCUUUGCGGUGCAUUAGCUAGUUGGUGGGGUAAAGGCCUACCAAGGCGACGAUGCAUAGCCGACCUGAGAGAGUGAUCGGCCACACUGGGACUGAGACACGGCCCAGACUCCUACGGGAGGCAGCAGUAGGGAAUCUUCCGCAAUGGGCGAAAGCCUGACGGAGCAACGCCGCGUGAGUGAAGAAGGAUUUCGGUUCGUAAAGCUCUGUUGUUAGGGAAGAAUGAUUGUGUAGUAACUAUACACAGUAGAGACGGUACCUAACCAGAAAGCCACGGCUAACUACGUG